GAUGAACGCUGGCGGCGUGCCUAAUACAUGCAAGUCGAGCGAACGGACGAGAAGCUUGCUUCUCUGAUGUUAGCGGCGGACGGAUGAGUAACACGUGGAUAACCUACCUAUAAGACUGGGAUAACUUCGGGAAACCGGAGCUAAUACCGGAUGAUAUUUUGAACCGCAUGGUUCAAAAGUGAAAGACGGUCUUGCUGUCACUUAUAGAUGGAUCCGCGCUGCAUUAGCUAGUUGGUAAGGUAACGGCUUACCAAGGCAACGAUGCAUAGCCGACCUGAGAGGGUGAUCGGCCACACUGGAACUGAGACACGGUCCAGACUCCUACGGGAGGCAGCAGUAGGGAAUCUUCCGCAAUGGGCGAAAGCCUGACGGAGCAACGCCGCGUGAGUGAUGAAGGUCUUCGGAUCGUAAAACUCUGCUAUUAGGGAAGAACAUAUGUGUAAGUAACUGUGCACAUCUUGACGGUACCUAAUCAGAAAGCCACGGCUAACUACGUG
rnacentral:rRNA from 1 species